AUACCGGCAGCUCAAGUGAUGGCCGCUUUUAUUGGGCCUAAAGCGUCCGUAGCCGGCCGAACAGGUCCGUCGGGAAAUCUGCUCGCUCAACGAGCAGGCGUCCGGCGGAAACCAGUCGGCUUGGGGCCGGAAGGCUCGAGGGGUACGUCUGGGGUAGGAGUGAAAUCCUGUAAUCCUGGACGGACCACCGGUGGCGAAAGCGCCUCGAGAGGACGGACCCGACGGUGAGGGACGAAAGCUAGGGUCACGAACCGGAUUAGAUACCCGGGUAGUCCUAGCUGUAAACGAUGCUCGCUAGGUGUGGCACAGGCUACGAGCCUGUGCUGUGCCGUAGGGAAGCCGAGAAGCGAGCCGCCUGGGAAGUACGUCCGCAAGGAUGAA
rnacentral:rRNA from 2 species